GAAGGCCACAAAGGGAAGUAAGCAUUUAUUGAGAUAGCGCUGUGUCAAGAAAAUACUAAUUACACUGAUUGAAAAAAGGUAUCUACUUCUUCUGAGUGUAAUAUACAAAAGUACAGCUGUUCUUACUGGAGAAAAGAGCAUCAUGGAUGACAGAUCCACAUCAGUGUCAAUCGGGAUAGCCGUGGCAUUUGGCAUCUUAGGGUUUUUCCUGCUGAUCUGUUUGGUUCAGAUGUGCUGCAAGAAACUCAAAUGCUGCAAAAAUUGUAAAAAGCCUUCAGCCCAAGACAAAUUUUUGAAGAAAGUUGGCCUGAAGAAAUCCUCUUCUCCAUUUUCAAUCAGCAGCAUUGUUGAGAAGAAAUAAUCACUGUGAAUGUAUUCUUUCUAUGCCUGAAAAUAUUGUACAUAAACCCUCAAAGGAAUUGUUAAUCAAAAAUAAUAAUAAUGUAAUCAUUUACUCACCCUUAUGAUAUUCCAGAAAUGUGUGGGCGUUCCAGAGAGUUUAAAAAACAAAAAAUAAAAGUUAUGUACAUGUUCCUCUUUUUUUAUGCAAUUACAGUAAAAGGGAAUUAGAACUUCCAUGCUUUGAAAAGGAAGAUAAAACACCAGAAUGUAUCAUAAAAGCAAUCCAAUCUUUGGAAAUUAUUUUUUGUUUGAAAAUUAUCUUUAAUUUCAGUCUGUCCAUCGAUCAAAAUCUUGAUAUUCUAGCUUUUUUUGCCACACAUGAGAGGAACUGCAAUGUCUGAUUGGUGAACGAAUCAUUCAGAUCAGUUUUGUGAACUGUAUCAGCUGAAUCAUUGAAAUGAUACGUAUCCAAAAAAUUAUUUGCUGUCGAAUUAUUCAUCACUGCUUCUCUCAUGAGCUCCCAUGAAAGCAGCUAGGAGAGCUAGGGUGGAUAUCAAUAUUUUCAAUGAAUGAAGUCUUAAAUUACAGCCUGUUUUCCACAAACAAAGCUAUCGUAUGUCUUCAGAAAACCUGGAAUAUACCACAAAAGUCAUUUGCACCACUGUUGCAAAUGUGUAUAUAUAAUAAUAUAUAAUUUUAUAGAGCUUUUGUAUUCUUUUUGAUAUGCCAAAGCUCCAAUCCACAUUCUCUUCAAUUGCAUGGAAAAGACGGACCAUUACAUUUUAAAAAAUGUAUCCUUUUCUGUUUCACUGAAGAAAGAAAGCCAUAUGGGUUUGGAAUAUCACGAGGGUGAGUUAAUGAUUACAGAAUUUGUUAUUAGAGGUGAACUAUAUUAUAUAUUAUAUUAUAUACCCUAAUAUUCAGGGUAAAAUACAACUUAAUCUAUCUACAACUGACUCUAUCAAGAACAUUUAACAGAUGCUGUCAAAUACUAAAUAAUUUUGACUUUAUGAUUGUAAUGUAUUUACAGUGAAAACAUAUAGGACAAAAUAUUUUGUAUUCUUUCUUUCUUAACAAUACUUGAAACUGAAUGCAUUUCCGUGAUAUGAUGUGAAAGCGUCUGCCAAUUUAUUUAUUUUUCAGUUUCUGUAAAACGUGUGAAUCACACUUCUGAGGUAAAGGUAUUAAUUAGUGUUGAAUGAUCAAUUCGUGUUGAAUGAUUCAUAAUUGUGGUGAGGUAGAAAGUUUGCUUUCUCACAGUUCGGGAAAAACACUGUUAAUGUUACUGAGACUGAUUAUCCGAUUGUUUCUCUCAUCAUCUAACUCAGUGUUUUGUCUCCUUAUAUCCUGUUGGUUACUUUUUACGGAAACACAUAAAAGCCUUCUUCUCAAGCUGAACCAUUUUCACAUAACAUCAGUUAGCUUCAAAUGUCACCAGAUAGCAGAAUACAUAGAAGAGCUGUACUAAAAAUGCACUUUGGUCCCAGUGGAUAGGUCAUAUCACCAUUGUGAUUUCUUAAUGGCAGUGUAAUUUGUAAGGAAGUAUUACUUAUAAGGAAGUGCUCAUGUGUAAUACAUUUCCAAACCAAUCAAAUAGAUGUGGAAGGAUGUUGUCAUCUACUGAAUGAGGAUAUUUGAUAUACAGGAAAAUGUGCUCACAUUACUAAACAUUCAUCUAUUGUCUUGUGAAGAGUUCUUGUGGGAGGAGGUGUGUUGCAUUUACAAUAAAUUACUAAAUGAUGGUGUGGAGGAUAUAAUAUAUAUAGCCAGGUCUACUGGUAAAUUCAUUAUAUAUGAAAACAUUUUGGUAAUCUGUGGUAUAAAAAAGUGUGUUCUGCAGCUAUGGAAGCCAGCAAAUGAACUGGAUCAGAGAUAAUAGAUUCCACCUGAUCAGAUAAAUUCUCGCCAUCCGUCUAAAAACCACCAUGACCAGAGGCGUAGUAAAACAAGGAUAUUAUUAAGUUAAAUCAUUAAUUUGGACUUUUAAUUUGAAUGUUACCAUGUUUUAUCUUUCUUUACUGGUUCAUUUGGAGUGGUGGUGGUGGUGGUGUAGUGGGUUACAGAACAUAACUGGUAAUCAGAAGGUCGCUGGUUCGAUCCCCACAGCCACCACCAUUGUGUCCUUGAGUAAGGAACUUAACUCCAGGUUGCUCUGGGGGGAUUGUCCCUGUAAUAAGUGCACUGUAAGUCGCUUUGGAUAAAAGCGUCUGCCAAAUGCAUAAAUGUAAAUUUGACAAAGGUGAGGUGUGACAAAAGUACAAAUAUUCUGUGUAAUAUCUCAUUUAAUAUCAUUUUGAAAGCUACACGCAUAAUAUUUUAAAAUGAAUUAGCAAAUGAUAUGAUGUUUUAAAGUUUUAAAUGAAAUAUAGCAUAUCAUACUGUAAUGGGAGCCAAUUGGUACGUGAUAGUUGUAGCCUUUAGCCUCCUCGUUAGCACGCCCACCUCCCAUGCCCGUUGACACUGGUUCAAAUCCCACUCAGAGCAGGUCUGGUAACAACACUAUUGGACAUGUCAACAUGCAGCUUCCAAGAAGAAUUUCACCUGAACAACCCAUUUAACCUUUAGGAUUCUGGGAGUUACAUAAAUGUACAUAAAUAUACAGAUUUACAAUUUUCUGUUCGUUCUGAUUGUGUUCUUUUAUCAGGGGAAGUCAUAAAUGAUUGGCACACAAUGAUUUUUCCUGAUUUUGCUCUUCAUGUAAACACGUAAUGGCGUUCUGGCAGCUUUUUUUCAUGUGUGCAUAUGUUGUGCGUAUGCCUGUUUACAUUUUGACAUCAAAAACUGGUAACUUGGUUUUCUUGCAUUGUCUGACUUUUUUAAUAAGCUAAUUAUUCAUAGUUACCAGCGUAUUGUUAUGCAAGUAAACACACUCAUUAUCUUACCCCCUUAAAUCAUCAUAUGAAAAAGAGAUAUGAGCAGUUUCAACAGGAAAUUAUAGAUAUGCGUUUAGUUGUAUAUGUUUUUUCUUUGGUCUUUGGUGAUCAGUUAUGUUUUCAGUCAAUUCAUCUGAAAACCUCUCCCAGCAGUGCACUCAACUACACGCCAACCUGAACUUUAUUAGUGGUUGAUGAAGCACACGCACACAUCUAUAGGGCCUGUGUAGUUUUCUGAGCUUGCAUGAAUUAUGCAAAGCGUGGUGGUGGUCUGUAGGAAGAGCUGAGAUAGCAGAUUGUGUCUGAGGUUCACCAGCUUGUUCUUUUCACCUUUGUGAGACCAGGCCUGGUAGAAACCCUGACAGUGCUUUUCCUGCUCGCAGUGCAUAUCGAGUUUCACCCACCAAUAGAAAAGUCUGGCUCAAAUACACAGGGGUGAUGGGGUGUGGACACAAUAUGACAUGGCGUGAUAACAUGCAUGAUUAUUUCACAAAAAACAAUUUACUCAUCCUCAUGUCAGAAGAAGGAGAGUCUUUACCACACAACUUUUCCAUGCAUUGACUGCCUAAGAAUACCAGCUUGUAGGCUGUGUUAUUAAAAUAAUAUUUAGUGUUAAAUACCUGAUAAGCUCAAUUGACAGCAUUUGUGGUCUAAUGUUGAUUUUUACAAAAAUAAUUACAUUGACUUCUCCUCUUUUUCUUUAAAAUAAGCAAAAAUGUGUUACAGUGAGGCACUUAAAAUUAAUGAUAGUAAAGUUUAUGAACAAUCAAAAAGAUUUGUAACUACUUGAAAAAAGCAGAAAAAGAUUCACAGUACAAUUCUGUAAUAAUCAUUGUUGUGGAGAAUCCAAAGGCAUUUUGACCAAAUACAAGAUUAAGAAUACCUUUUCACUUUUUAACUUCUAAACAUGUAAAAAAUGACCCAAAUAUGACAGUAAGCUUAAAGUAUAUUCUUAAGUUUGUUGUGUACAAAUUAAAUACACAGCCUGGAAAAAAGACAUUAUUUUAGGUAUCAUGAGCUGUGCAGCGGUCCAUGUAUAGUACAGAAAUUUUACAUGAUGUCACAUCAUACACUGGCAAGCACUGAUCUUCUCAAGAGCUUAUCAUGUUCUUUUAUGGUUACUAGUUUGAUGACUCAUUUCAUUUGAGGGUUGAUAACAGCAUGGAAGUCUAGUAUUUUAUCUAAACAUCUACGUUUAUAUUAGGAUGGGGCAAACCCUGGAAAGAUAAUUUAUGCAAAACAAUCUCUCCUUUCAAAGUCGGACUUGUGUAGCAAAUAGUAUCUACGGGGGAAGUAAGGACGCUAGAAAACCGCAGAAAGUCAUGACUAAGCUCAAAGCACUUGUUCGCACAACCUGGGGGAGUGACAUGUCAACUCAACCCAUAGAAACUCCACAAUUUCUUCUAAACUGUAGGUAUAUUUUCUUUAAAAAUAUUUGUGGGAGACAAAAACGAUGACAAUGUCUGUGGAAGAUUUAUCAGAAAUGUCUGCUACAGCAGGGACGUGUACAGGGGGUGGCCUGUAUAAGUUCAUAAAUGUUUUAUUAGGCUUACUCCUCAAUAGAAGUGAUGUAAAGUAUACGUACGUUAAUUCAUAAUUGAUGUUAAA